rnacentral:rRNA from 1 species
CGGUAGGCGGGACGGGGUGGAGUAACGCGUGGGUAACCUGCCUCAUACAGGGGGGUAACGGUUAGAAAUGACUGCUAAUACCGCAUAAGCGCACAGUACCGCAUGGUACGGUGUGAAAAACUCCGGUGGUAUGAGAUGGACCCGCGUCUGAUUAGCUAGUUGGUGGGGUAACGGCCCACCAAGGCGACGAUCAGUAGCCGACCUGAGAGGGUGACCGGCCACAUUGGGACUGAGACACGGCCCAG